UAUUGCACAAUGGGGGGAACCCUGAUGCAGCGACGCCGCGUGGGUGAAGGAGUAUUUCGGUAUGUAAAGCCCUAUCAGCAGGGAAGAACAAUGACGGUACCUGACUAAGAAGCACCGGCUAAAUAAGUUCCAGCAGCCGCAGUAAAACGCAUGGUGCAAGCGUUAUCCGGAUUUACGGGGUGUAAAGGGAGCGCAGGCGGCGCGUUAAGCCUGGUGUGAAAGCCCGCGGCCCAACCGCGGGACUGCAUUGGGAACUGGCGCGCUGGAGUGCCGGAGGGGUAGGCGGAAUUCCUAGUGUAGCGGUGAAAUGCGUAGAUAUUAGGAGGAACACCAGUGGCGAAGGCGGCCUACUGGACGGUGACUGACGCUGAGGCUCGAAAGCGUGGGGAGCAAACAG
rnacentral:rRNA from 1 species